rnacentral:rRNA from 1 species
GACGUAGGGGGCGAGCGUUGUCCGGAUUCAUUGGGCGUAAAGAGCUCGCAGGCGGUUUGUCAAGUCGGAUGUGAAAACCCGGAGCUCAACUCCGGGCGUGCAUCCGAUACUGCCCGACUAGAGGUAGGUAGGGGAGAUCGGAAUUCCUGGUGUAGCGGUGAAAUGCGCAGAUAUCAGGAGGAACACCAGUAGCGAAGGCGGCUCGCUGGGCCGCAACUGACGCUGAGAAGCGAAAGCUAGGGGAGCGAACAGG